rnacentral:rRNA from 1 species
AUUGAACGCUGGCGGCAUGCCUUACACAUGCAAGUCGAACGGCAGCAUGGAGAGCUUGCUCUCUGAUGGCGAGUGGCGAACGGGUGAGUAAAGCAUCGGAACGUACCGGGUAGUGGGGGAUAACGUAGCGAAAGUUACGCUAAUACCGCAUACGCACUGAGGUGGAAAGCAGGGGAUCGUAAGACCUUGCGCUAUACGAGCGGCCGAUGUCAGAUUAGCUAGUUGGUAGGGUAAAGGCCGACCAAGGCGACGAUCUGUAGCGGGUCUGAGAGGAUGAUCCGCCACACUGGGACUGAGACACGGCCCAGACUCCUACGGGAGGCAGCAGUGGGGAAUUUUGGACAAUGGGGGCAACCCUGAUCCAGCCAUGCCGCGUGAGUGAAGAAGGCCUUCGGGUUGUAAAGCUCUUUCGGCCGGGAAGAAAUCGCACAGGCUAAUACCCUGUGUGGAUGACGGUACCGGCAUAAGAAGCACCGGCUAACUACGUGCCAGCCGCCGCAGUAA